GUGGGGAAUAUUGGACAAUGGGCGAAAGCCUGAUCCAGCCAUGCCGCGUGUGUGAAGAAGGUCUUCGGAUUGUAAAGCACUUUAAGUUGGGAGGAAGGGCAGUAAGUUAAUACCUUGCUGUUUUGACGUUACCGACAGAAUAAGCACCGGCUAACUUCGUGCCAGCAGCCGCGGUAAUACGAAGGGUGCAAGCGUUAAUCGGAAUUACUGGGCGUAAAGCGCGCGUAGGUGGUUUUGUAAGUUGGAGGUGAAUUCCCCGGGCUCAACCUGGGAACUGCCUCCAAAACUGCAUGACUAGAGUACGGUAGAGGGUAGUGGAAUUUCCUGUGUAGCGGUGAAAUGCGUAGAUAUAGGAAGGAACACCAGUGGCGAAGGCGACUACCUGGACUGAUACUGACACUGAGGUGCGAAAGCGUGGGGAGCAAACAGGAUUAGAAACCCGAGUAGUCC
rnacentral:rRNA from 1 species